GGCCUACCAUGGUGGUAACGGGUAACGGGGUGUUAGGGCACGACACCGGAGAGGGAGCCUGAGAAACGGCUACCACAUCCACGGAUGGCAGCAGGCGCGCAAAUUACCCAAUCCCGACACGGGGAGGUAGUGACAAUAAAUAACAAUACGGGGUUCUUACGGAUCUCGUAAUUGGAAUGAGUACAAUUUAAAUCUCUUAACGAGGAACAAUUGGAGGGCAAGUCUGGUGCCAGCAGCCGCGGUAAUUCCAGCUCCAAUAGCGUAUAUUAAAGUUGUUGCAGUUAAAAAGCUCGUAGUUGGAUUUCGGGAUCAAUAAGUCGGUCGUGCCUCGGUACGUACUGGCAUCAUUGGUUUCUCCCUUCUGAUGAACCAUGAUGCCAUUAAUUUGGUGUCGUGGGGAAUCAGGACUGUUACUUUGAAAAAAUUAGAGUGUUUAAAGCAGGCUCACGCUUGAAUACAUUAGCAUGGAAUAAUGAAAUAGGACGUUUGAUUCUAUUUUGUUGGUUUCUAGGAUCGACGUAAUGAUUAAUAGGGAUAGUUGGGGGCAUUAGUAUUCAAUUGUCAGAGGUGAAAUUCUUGGAUUUAUUGAAGACUAACUACUGCGAAAGCAUUUGCCAAGGAUGUUUUCAUUAAUCAAGAACGAAAGUUAGGGGAUCGAAGACGAUCAGAUACCGUCGUAGUCUUAACCAUAAACUAUGCCGACUAGGGAUCGGAUGAUGUUAAUUUUUUAAUGACUCAUUCGGCGCCUUACG
rnacentral:rRNA from 1 species